CUGGCUAUGAACACCCCCCACCCCACCCCACCAGGGAACAGCAGGCUCUGGUUCAAAUCCUGACUCCACUCCACUGAAUGUGUGUCCUUGGCCAAGUCACCUGCCCAGCUUCCAAGUAAGGGAUAAGCUGCCUAGAGGCUGGCCCACCCUGCAGGCAUGAGCCAGGGAGGAUUCAGGGGGAGAUGAGGCCUGCCUUGAGUCUCCAAGAGUGAGUGGGAGUGAGCCAAGAGAGGGGGCAGGCAUUCCGCAACUCCACUCCCACCUCCAGACACCCAGAGAUGUCCCGGACCAGGAACCUUCUCCAGGCGGAGACACCACCAUCUCACAGACACAGAGCAUGGGACUUCCUCUGCUGCCAGCUGCCCCAGGGAGGACAGACAGAUGCAGGCAGAGAGUGGGCAUUUACCCACAGGAACGCAAGGGGAUACUGAGGACUCGCUCAGGAAUGUCUCCCCAGUGGGGAAGAAGACGUCUGGCUUAUAAAACUACAGAGGCCCACGACAGGAGUGGAAAGCGAGUCUCCUUUCCCCGAGGACAUCAAGCCUGUCCAGAGACCCCAAACCAGAGUCAGCAUGGUGCCACAGCGACCGGAGGGGUUCCGGAAAUACUUAGCAGUCUCGGUGGACUUUUCAU